GCCACCCACCACAUGACCUUAUCGCCACCCGCCAGGAGCUAUAUCUGCAGUCCACAUCUCACUUUUAAUUUUUUUCGGAAAGCUUUAGCGUGGUGGCACCCCGCCACCCAUCACCUGCAAGUCUAGCGGCCCGCCUUAAGCCUAUCUGCCACUUUAAUUAAUUAAAACCCAACAAAGGUUCACGGGAUAACCUUUUCCCUUCCCCAUCGCUGAAACAAUUACCCUUCAACCCCUUUCCUCUCCCCUAACCGCCGACCACCCCCUCACAUAUCACCCACCUUCUCGCCGUCAACCUCCAUAACCACCGAAUAACCCCUACUCUUCACUGCCGAUAUUACCCCUUAUUCCACAGACAACACAUCCCCUUCAACCAUUAGCCCACCAUGUUUUGUCCCCUACCCCCACUACCAAUAACCCACAUUGUCACCUAACCUUUUAUCACCAUUAAACUUUUUCACCCACUGGUUACCCACCGAAGAACAAAAGAAAAGAACCAUAAAAAAAAAAAAUCUCCAUUACCACCUACUCCCUCACUCAUCCGAUUUCAACCAUCCAUUCACCAUAUUUCACUUAAAGUCUAAAUUGUUCUUUGGGAUUCAAGUUUCAAACGAAAAAUCUCUCAAUCUCUUCUUAUUUCUCUCAAAUCCAAGAAUGUCAUGUUCAGGAUCAUGCAGUCGGCCAACAGGAAACGAGGCCAGAUACUCACCGAAGAGUGGGACACAGGCGGGUGAUGAGGUGUUGGAUGAUGCGGAGUAGAGCGAGGAUGACAGCUUAUGUCUUUUGUUUAUUUUUAUCUUUAUGCUGUUUUUAAUCCUCGUUUGUUGGUUUGUACUUAAAUACGUUAAACAGUGUUUGGUGUUUGCUUGAUUAGGUUGGUAUUAGUAGCCGCUUUCGUUCGCGUGUCCGAGAUUAGAGUUGUUUGCUGAGCGCGUUUCGAAUUGGAGGGCUUAUGUGGAAACGACUGGCACUUUGACAGUCUCACAUACUCAGCUAAGUCGUUUCCCUUUUUGUUGUUGUUGUAUAUUUUUUAUUUAUUUCAUUUGCAGUUUUUUUUAGGUAGUUGUUGAGUCGUAUUUUCGUUCUUGCAUUAGGGACAAUGCAAUCUCUAAGUGUGGGGAUGGGAUACUUGUAAAUAUUUGAGUCAUAAAUAUGAAAAAACACAAAAAAAUUAAAAAAAUUGAAAAAUCCAAAAAAAAUAGAAAAAUAGAAAAUGUCUUUCGAAUAAAAAAAAAGAAGUUUGCAUUUUUUUUAAGCGGAAAGUGAUAGAAAAGAUGAAUUUUUGCUCGGGUUCGAAUAAUAAUAAUAUGAGAUUAUAAUAAAUCGAGCUUGCGUCUAGUUAGGGAUAUGUGGAUAGGCUCGGGUUUGGUUUUAAGUCCCUUUGAUCUAAUAUACCUUAAUUGUCGGUUUACUAGUGGGUUUUCGCCUGAGAGAUAUGGGAAAUUAAAACCGCCAAUAAUAGUAUAAGGGGCACCGUUAUAAGUUAAAACUUUCAGAGUUUGUG
rnacentral:lncRNA from 1 species